UUUCCGUAGGUGAACCUGCGGAAGGAUCAUUAUCGUAAAACCGAGGUGCGAGGGCUGUCGCUGACCUUUUCGGUCGUGCACGCCCGAGCGCUCUCACACAAUCCAUCUCACCCCUUGUGCACCACCGCGUGGGUCCCUUUCUGGCUCGUCCGGAGGGGGACUCGCGUUCUCACACAAACUUGAAGUAGUGUAGAAUGUCCUUUUUUUGCGAUAACACGCAAUCAAUACAACUUUCAACAACGGAUCUCUUGGCUCUC
rnacentral:misc_RNA from 1 species